AUACGUAUAAUCCUAUAGAAUUAAAAAAUAAUUUAUAUUAUUAUGCUUGUUUAGUACUUAGCAACAGAUGAGUACUUAGCAAUAGUAUUAAAGUAAGUAUAUAUCUGCGUAUACCUGCAUGCCCUUAUAGAAUUUUACGCGGGCUUUUACUGUAGUUGUGGACCUGGUGCCAAACUGAAUAUCAUCUUUUAAUAAUUAAUCAAAAUGUUCCAACUUUCAACUUAAUGAUUUGGUCGAUUUUCAAAGACCAUGCAUGAUUGGGGCUGAGCCUCCUUAACAAAACAGAACAACUAUGGCUGACUAUUACUGUAGUUUUAUCG